AGACGGCCCGUCGUGUCACAGCACCACAAAUAUAUAGCUCUCGCUCGCUUAACUGAUUGACCGCGCUACUAGCUGUCAAGAACUCAAGAUCCAUCAGAUCUUACAGAAACAACAGCCGUCGGCUUCCUUGUUGGUGUUACUGUUCUUUUUCCCCCCCCUUUCUUCUUCCGUUUGGGCAGAGCUGAUCUGCUUGCUGAUGGCAACUGUUGUCGGCAGUAGUUGGUGGGGGUGUGCGCGUGGUGCGUAAUUGGAUGGACUGUCGACCACUGCUCAUGAACAGCUAGCGUCGUCGUCAGCAAAACAGCAACGGCCUGGCAACAGUCAUCGCCAGAGAUUGCAAUCUCGUCUCGUCAGGAGGUUUUAUUUAAUCACCGGUUCAAGAAACAUACGGAACACAUACUGGCUGCGUCUCCGAUCGAAACACACACAACACGCAGCACAGCUGGUGGCCACGCCGACCGUCGUCAGCACUCACUCAGCACUGCUCUGCCGACCACGGCUGCUCGGUCGUCGUCGUCACGGCGACCUGUGCAACAAGGCGAGUUGGAGUGGAAUUUACCGUGGUUCCUCUGUGCCGACGCCGCCGGGUUACCGCGGCGGCGUUCACGUACGGCCAGCAGCGCCGCGCGCCCGCGCGGUGCCACUCCACGUGACGUGACCCUUGACGGGACGCGUUGCUUUGUUGCAAGGCCGAGAAGACGUGUAGCUGGGCUGGAAUGUACUACAUGGGUUGGCCCAUACUCAAUAAACCAGCCCAGGAGCCGGUUACCGGAUAAUCAUAUCGGAAUCGGAACUGUACCGUCGUCUGCUCCUCUCCUUCAGUUUCGGUCUGCUUUAAUGAUACGACUAAACUUAGAUACGCUAUAUAUAUUUUUUUUCAGUUGCCAAUAUUAUGUUAGCAUUACAAGAAUCAGUUUCUAGA